rnacentral:lncRNA from 1 species
CUCCUGAGUAGCUGGGACUACAGGCGCCCGCCACCACGCCUGGCUAAUUUUUGUAUUUUUAGUAGAAACGGGAUUUCACCGUGUUAGCCAGGAUGGUCUCGAUCUCCUGACCUUGUGAUCCGCCCAACUCGGCCUCCCAAAGUGCUGGGAUUACAGGCGUGAGCCACCGCGCCUGGCCUUGCCUGUUUCUUUUUACAAAAGAAGCCAGAAUUCCAGGUUUUAACAGGAAGCUCCCAGUUUACACAUAUUGACUACUAAGUAUUUGUAAGCCUCCUAUAAGACAAACAAAACACUCCGGUGGGCUGGCUUCAGUCCAUGAAAAUCUGUUUGCAAGUUCCAGACCUUAACCAUUUGGGGCCAGUUGUAGCCCACUGGGAGGAACCAGAGGUAGGCAGCUGGAGGCAGAGGUUGGUAGCCAGGUGGCCUGGGUGCCAGACCCCUUUUCCCCUGCACCUCACUCUCCCCAUCCAUACAAGGUGGGGUUGGCCAUCUGAGCUACAAUGGUCCCUAGUAAGGAUGCCUCCUCCUUUGCCCAGGCUGGCCUGACUCACUGGGACAACUAGGCUGGGCUUUUUGCUUUGCUCUCAGCUGAGUCAGUGUGGAUGCAUGCUGGCAAUAAUACAUGACAGGCCACCUGCCUGUCAGGAAUCAAGCGCGAAAGAGAACUGGCUGCCACAAGGAAUCCCACUGAGGCUGAGGCCAAGGUGGGGUCCAACAGUGUCCUGAUCUUCCCGAAUUUUUUUUUCUUAAGACAGAGUCUCACUCCAUCACCCAGGCUGGAGUGCAGUGGCAUGAUCUUGGCUCACUGCAACCUUCACCUCCCGGGUUCAAGCGAUUCUCCUGGCUCAGCCUCCCAAGUAGCUGCGAUUACAGUCAUGUACCAUCACGCCUGGAUA